GACGAACGCUGGCGGCGUGCUUAACACAUGCAAGUCGAACGAAGAGCGAUGGAAGCUUGCUUCUAUCAAUCUUAGUGGCGAACGGGUGAGUAACGCGUAAUCAACCUGCCCUUCAGAGGGGGACAACAGUUGGAAACGACUGCUAAUACCGCAUACGAUCUAAUCUCGGCAUCGAGGAUAGAUGAAAGGUGGCCUCUACAUGUAAGCUAUCACUGAAGGAGGGGAUUGCGUCUGAUUAGCUAGUUGGAGGGGUAACGGCCCACCAAGGCGAUGAUCAGUAGCCGGUCUGAGAGGAUGAACGGCCACAUUGGGACUGAGACACGGCCUAGACUCCUACGGGAGGCAGCAGUGGGGAAUCUUCCGCAAUGGACGAAAGUCUGACGGAGCAACGCCGCGUGAGUGAUGACGGCCUUCGGGUUGUAAAGCUCUGUUAAUCGGGACGAAAGGCCUUCUUGCGAAUAGUGAGAAGGAUUGACGGUACCGGAAGAGAAAGCCACGGCUAACUACGUG
rnacentral:rRNA from 1 species